rnacentral:lncRNA from 1 species
UGCAGCUGAGCUCCUCUGCUUUACAUUAAAGGGGGAUGAUGGGUCUGGGUGGACAGAAAAACUGCUUGUUGCUGAAGGAAAGACGGGAAUCGCAGAGAAUGCUGCUGAAACAAACGUUCCCUUCCUUGUAAUUGGCGAGAAAGAGCCUUUCUUUGGUCAGUAUGCAAUGGGACAUCUCCGGCAUAAACAGGUGGGGUCAGUGGAAAUGCUAUAAACAGAGAAAAUGAAAAUAGAAGCCGCAACUUUCUGCAGGCAGGAGGCUGCCCGGUAUUCCCCAAGGUUAUUUAUUUUUCUCUUGCAUCUUGAAUAGAAACGUCCUGCUUGCUUGACGACGCUAAUUCUCUCUCUCUGUCUGGCAUCCAAGGCAAUCGCAGCACUCAAUGUAUUUGGAACUCACCCACUCCGACCUAAUAUAACCACCCAACAAAAUACAUCAGAUGGAGUUUUUAAUAAGCCACAAGUCCAUUCCUGGAAAAAGGGAAUAAAUUGAAAUCCUUCAAGUGCUGCCAACGAAGAAAGAAAGAAAAAGAAAGAAAGAAAGAAAGAAAGAAAGAAAGAAAGAAACUUGGAAAUUUAACAGAAUAACUCUUCCCCUCCCCCGGCCCACAGUCUUUCCUGCACGUGAAUAUAAUUGCCAGCAUCCUGGAGGAGAAGGUUUAGUUAUAAGUUUUAAAAAGAGGCCUGUUUUUUCUCCUUUUAACUCUCUCUCUGUUUUCUUGCUUAAUGGAGCUAAUAAUUUCUGAAAGAAAAGAUAGUGAACGUUUCAUCUUCUAGAUAGGUGUCAGAAGGAACUAUCGCUUUGCAUCUGCCUCUGAGCCCAUUCACAAGGACAUCAAAGAUCUUGCCACACUUCAGAUUUAAAUGUAUUUUCUUUUCUUCCCCCAUACAUAUUAGGUUUUUUAAAAUCAAAGAGGCAUUCCUUAUGGUUUCCAAUCUGUGGUCAAAAUGAUGAUAACCCAGCAGAAUGAUAUAAGGAUGUUGGUGUACCAAAAACAACAACAGGCACUUAUUGUGGAACAAGAUUCCAGAGAGUCUAAUCUAGAGAAAAUUUAUGCCAGCAUGAAUGUGUGGAUCUCUAAGAAAUGUUCCAGGUUUGCAACCAUUAUAUUGUUUGAAGAGGACUUUCUAACAUGAUAUGUGUCACAUCUUCCAAGGUUAGUUUAUGAAAGUUUUUGUAUAUGUGUUAAAGUGGUAAUCUCU